rnacentral:rRNA from 1 species
GAUGAACGCUGGCGGCGUGCCUAAUACAUGCAAGUCGAGCGAAUGGAUUAAGAGCUUGCUCUUAUGAAGUUAGCGGCGGACGGGUGAGUAACACGUGGGUAACCUGCCCAUAAGACUGGGAUAACUCCGGGAAACCGGGGCUAAUACCGGAUAACAUUUUGAACCGCAUGGUUCGAAAUUGAAAGGCGGCUUCGGCUGUCACUUAUGGAUGGACCCGCGUCGCAUUAGCUAGUUGGUGAGGUAACGGCUCACCAAGGCAACGAUGCGUAGCCGACCUGAGAGGGUGAUCGGCCACACUGGGACUGAGACACGGCCCAGACUCCGUCGGGAGGCAGCAGUAGGGAAUCUUCCGAAAUGGACGAAAGUCUGACGGAGCAACGCCGCGUGAGUGAUGAAGGCUUUCGGGUCGUAAAACUCUGUUGUUAGGGAAGAACAAGUGCUAGUUGAAUAAGCUGGCACCUUGACGGUACCUAACCAGAAAGCCACGGCUAACUACGUGCCAGCCGCCGCGGUAA